GGACUUGUGGCUCAACCGGCAAGGCGCUUGACUACAAUUCAUCGCGAUCAAAAGACUCUGGGUUCAGAUCCCAGCGGGUUUU